rnacentral:rRNA from 1 species
AUUGAACGCUGGCGGCAUGCUUUACACAUGCAAGUCGAACGGUAACAGGCCGCCAGGUGCUGACGAGUGGCGAACGGGUGAGUAAUGCAUCGGAACGUGCCCAGUCGUGGGGGAUAACUACUCGAAAGAGUAGCUAAUACCGCAUACGAUCUAUGGAUGAAAGCGGGGGACCGUAAGGCCUCGCGCGAUUGGAGCGGCCGAUGGCAGAUUAGGUAGUUGGUGGGGUAAAGGCUCACCAAGCCAACGAUCUGUAGCUGGUCUGAGAGGACGACCAGCCACACUGGGACUGAGACACGGCCCAGACUCCUACGGGAGGCAGCAGUGGGGAAUUUUGGACAAAGGGCGCAAGCCUGAUCCAGCAAUGCCGCGUGCAGGAAGAAGGCCUUCGGGUUGUAAACUGCUUUUGUACGGAACGAAACGGCUCUGGCUAAUACCCGGGGCUAAUGACGGUACCGUAAGAAUAAGCACCGGCUAACUACGUG